GUGAUUUCUAUCAUCUAUAUUCUUGUCCUCAGUAGGCGUUAUGAUGCUGACGUGUCACUGAACGUGUCAGCCAAUGUAGUCCAUAUCUGGUUUGAUAUCUUACUCCUGGGGAUACCUGCAUUUCUAGGGACACAUUGAACUGCUUAUAGACUUUUCCCAGUUUAGACCGUAAACCCGAACUGGACUGUGCAUGAGCAGAUAAGUAUCAUUUCCGCUCACUACUGCUUCACGGCAGCUGGGCGAUUUCACAAAUUGAUUAAUUGCAGUUUUUUUUUCUUAACAAAGGUUGUACUUAGCACUUAUUUGAAUUAUUGUGUAUAUAUGUGUUUUUAGGGGGCGGCAUGGUGGUGCAGUGGUUAGCACUGUUGCCUCACACCUCUGGGACCUGGGUUCGGGUCUCCACCUGGGUCACAUGCGUGCAGAGUUUGCAUGUUCUCCCCAUGUCGUCGUGGGGUUUCCUCUGGGGACUCUGGUUUCCCCCCCACAGUCCAAAAACAUGCUGAGGCUAAUUGGAGUUACUAAUUUGCCCAUAGGUGUGCAUGUGAGAGUGUGUGAGUGUGCCCUGUGAUGGGCUGACCCCCCAUCCUGGGUUGUUCCCUGCCUCGUGUCUAUUGCUUCCGGGAUAGGCUCCAGACCCCCCGUGACCCAGUAGGAUAAGCGGUUUGGAGGAUGGAUGGAUAUGUGUUUUUAAAUUACAAAGAUUAUUUUAUUUAAAGCCUCGUGCCCAUUGCUUCUGGGAUAGGCUCCGGACCCCCCGCCACCCAGUAGGAUAAGCGGUUUGGAAAAUAAAUGGAUGGAUGGAUGGAUUUUAUUUAAAAAUAGUAUUUAGCACGAUUUGGCUUAUUACAGUUUAAUAAUAUUUUGUAAUUAUGACAUGUUAUAAUUGUAUUUUUAAAUAAUUUGUACUUAAAAGUCUGUGGUACAUUGGGCGGAGCUUAAAUUUGGACGUUAUUGUUAUUAUGAAUUAUGACGUCAUAAGAGGGAUGGGGAACGUAUCCCUUAUUCUCAUUGGUCGAGUGUUUUCUCCAUAUACCUUACAUUGCCGAUAGGGGGCCAUAUGGUUUGGGUGAUAAGGGUUGCUGUUAAACUUUAAUAGAAUAAAAAUACAUUACAUGUAUUUAUUUGUGUUAUUUUUAAUUGCGUUUUUAUGGAAUAAUAAAACAUAUGGCAGGAUGAAUGCAAGCUAGCGCAUACACAUCCAGCGGGGCCCGUCCGGCCACAGGCACGGGCUGUUAGGAGUAGGCACAAGCACCACGGCGUAUUUUAAAAGAAUGUGGGGAUCUGAACAGGCUGGUAGGAGUAGUUGCACGGCACUGGUAAUUACACUAUAUUGGCAACCACUUGAGCCAGGUCAUAUGACCUACCAGGAAGUUAUAAAAGGCUGCCAAGAUGGAAUCUCAUUCUCUUGCUGCUGUGUUUUACAACUGGACAUGGGGGUGACUGCUAGCAGCAUGUAACUCUUCAUGGAGGAUGCGAGGUUUGGAAUUUUAUCAUUUGACGUGAUCCCCUACGAGCUGCUGGGCUACAGACACUGAGGCUCUGGGGCCUCCUGAGCUGAGAGCUGCGCGUGCCGAUCUGACCUUACUAUCUGGAGGAUAGUCAGCUGCCCCCAACCCUGCCAGCAGCCUGUUUUAUUUGACUAAUUGAUUUUACAUAUUUGUAAUAAAGUGGAUUGGGUUUUAUUUUCAUAUGCCUUUGUUGUUGUCCCUUUGCGGGGAGGGUUCGAACUUAGCCACGUUACAGAAGGAACAUUAGGGGUUCCUCCUGCCCUUACCAGGAGGUGGCGUAGUCAGAGCAGUGUGGGUAUUCUGUGCUUUGGGCACCACAAGAAAGCAUCGAAAUGUUUUAAAGAGAAACUUUAGCGUUGUUUUAAAUAGUCAAGGAAUAACCCUGUUAAUUCUCGUUUAAAUAAAUUAAUGCGAGAGAGUCGGCUCUUCAAAGAAAAUACUGUGUGGCUCUACGCGCAUGCGCUGCAUGAGAGCGAGCCAGAGAGGAGAGCGCAUUCGCUAAUUUAAUCAAGAAUUAACCGCGUUAUUCCUUGAUUCUUGUUGAAAUGCUUAGAGCGUUUUAAUUUAUUCACAUUAGCAUAAAAGUGCUUCAUUAUUUAAUCCCCUACAACCAUGACGUUUAUUUGAAAUAACAGGCGCUCCGCUGGUGUCGCCAUUUUGAAAGGGGCUGGCCACUUCGGUCUAUUUCGACCGCUUUUUUCAAACAGACCUGCCGAUUAUACCCGAGCUCUGGGACUCAUUUCGCCUUUUGGCCUAUUUCUUCUAAAAAUUUGCUGUUUAAAGGCUUUCUUCAACCUAACACUGACACUAUGUGAACUAUACACAAGGUCUCACUUAGAUGCAGUUCUCCUUGAUGUAGCUGGGUUUGAUUUGUGACAUCCAUCAGUGAGCAGGAAGGUGUUCCUUGCUGCAUCACGCAAGAAGAUGAAAUCCAGGCCUUCUAACUGAAAAGUCGCGCCUUUACAAUGGAGAUUUCCAUGGACACCUGAGCGUGACCUAUGCAAUGCGGACUCCCUAUUGCCAAACUCACAGCCGCCAGUUACACAUCUUUUGCUUUAAUCUAAGCUGAUUAGACUUUAAUAAUCUUGGAAAAAGUUUGACCAUACAGCAGCUUUUAUUAGAUUUUGAUGCAAUAAUGACUAUCGGAUGCCCAUUAUAUCCUUGGGAUGUAUCGGUGCUGUAGAUUUUUCAUGACUCUCAGUUACCAUUAAAAAAGAAAAUCAAUGUUUUGUUCCAGACUGUUUUGUUAGCUGUAAAACGCACCCAGUCUUGUAAUAAAAUUGUA